rnacentral:misc_RNA from 1 species
GAUGAAGAACGUAGCGAAAUGCGAUACGUAAUGUGAAUUGCAGAUCUCUCAGUGAACCAUCGAAUUUUUGAACGCACAUAGCGCCCGCCGGUCAUUCCGGCGGGCAUGCCUGUCCGAGCGUCGAUGACGCCGCUCGAGCCCCCGUGCUCGGUGUUGGGGCGCUAGGUCUCCCAGAGGCCUAGGCCCCCAAGUAGCAGUGCGCGGUCCGGCUGCGGGCCCCGGGUACAGUAACUUCACUGUUGAGAUGCCCUGGGAGCCGCUGGCUGGGUCAGACGUAAAACCCCCGACAUAGGCCUUCCUGUCCGCCCCCGGCGGGGAGGGAGACCGCCUAAUGUUGACCUCGGAUCAGGUAGGACUACCCGCUGAACUUAAGCAUAUCAAUAAGCGGAGGA